GUUUUCAAGUUGCCUUAUAUCAGAGAGAAUGUCGAAAUGAUACAGAGAAGAUUAGCAAGGCCCCUUGCAAGGAUGACACACAAAUUAGUGAAGCAUUCCACAUUUUU